rnacentral:lncRNA from 1 species
GCCUCCGUUCCAUCGCACGCUCUCGCACUCCAGUGAGCAUUUCCCUUCUGCCGUUCCUUUGCUGUGAGGGCGUUCGGCUCUCGUCGUUUGUAUUGCUGCACCACUCGUUCGAGCGACCGGACGUCCUAGCUUUUCCUCGAAGAGGUUGCAGUUUCUGAACGGCGAGGAUGGCUGGACAGACGCCAGUGGCGGUGCAUGUUGAGUACUGUGGUGGAUGAGGGUACGCCCCUCGUUUUGAGGAGCUAAAGCACCGAAUCCUUCAAAAAGUACCAAGUGCCAUUGUGAAUGGCACAGUAGGACGCCAGACGUCCUUCGAAGUGAUGAUCAAUAAUGUCCAGGUAUACUCUAAGCUCGAAAAGGGUAACUUUCCCGACUUCGAAGAGGUUGUCCAGCGAGUACUUGAUGCCAGCCUUGGCAAGGAAGUGAAGCCUUGCGUGAAACUUGGUGCUGCGAGCGGCAAAUGCUCUUUGUUAUAGCACGACACCUCAUUUGCUCUGCCGGUUGACCAUGCAGUUGGCCUUCAUGAACAAUAGCUGAAGGCCUUGGAAGGCGCAUGAAUGAUGGCUUGACCCCAAAUCUUGAAAAGAGUCAUGCCUGAAGAACCAGCGUGUUCCUGCCCGGUGCUACUUGCUCUGUGAAAGCCAUUCAUGUAUGGACCUUGUGGAAGUUUUCUCCGUUGAGGUUGCAAGUGCACGAUCGGCGAGGAUCCAUGGCUGGAGCGAAGCCAGUUAAGGUAUUCGUUGAGUAUUGUGGGGGAUGAGGGUACAUCCCUCGCUUCGAGGAACUGAAGAAGCAGAUCCUCGCCAAGCUUCCAAAUGCCACUGUGACUGGCAGCAUAGGACGUAAAACGUCCUUCGAAGUAGAAAUCAAUGGUGUCCAGGUAUUCUCGAAGCUUGCAAAGGGAGCCUUUCCUGACUUUGCAGAGGUCGUUGCUCGAGCCGUGGAUGCCAGCCAAGGGAAAGCUGUGCAGGCUGUGACCGGUGUACAGAAGUAGUUCGAGCCCACGGCUCGAAGAUCCCUGUCAGAGCCUUCCAGACAUGUGUCGACGAUUCUCCCUCCUCCCUGUGGCCUUUCCACUGGCAUACCGGUAUGGGUGCCGGUAUGUUCUCCACUCGGUCCAGUCAGAUGUGCACAUUAACACGAAGUUGGCAAGCUACAAGGCUGCUCACCUUCCCUGUGCACUUGCUCUGCUGGUUGACCAUGCAGUUGGCCUUCCUGAACAAUAGCUGAAGGCCUUGGAAUGCGUACGAAUGAUGGCUUGACCCCAAACCUUGAAAAGAGUCUUGCCUGAAGAACCAGCGUGUUCCUGCCUGGUGCUACUUGCGCUGUGAAAGCCAUUCAUGUAUGGAACUUGUGGAAGUAAAUGCAUUCUU